UUAAGCAUAUCAAUAAGCGGAGGAAAAGAAACCAACAGGGAUUACCUCAGUAACGGCGAGUGAAGCGGUAACAGCUCAAAUUUGAAAUCUGGCUUCGGCCCGAGUUGUAAUUUGCAGAAGAUGCUUUGGGGGUGGUCCCGGUCUAAGUCCCUUGGAACAGGACGUCAUAGAGGGUGAGAACCCCGUAUGUGACCGGUGCCCGCUCCCGUGUAAAGCUCUUUCGACGAGUCGAGUUGUUUGGGAAUGCAGCUCAAAAUGGGUGGUAUAUUUCAUCUAAAGCUAAAUACUGGCCAGAGACCGAUAGCGCACAAGUAGAGUGAUCGAAAGAUGAAAAGCACUUUGGAAAGAGAGUUAAACAGUACGUGAAAUUGUUGAAAGGGAAGCGCUUGCAACUAGACUCGCAGGCCGUCGAUCACCCGGUGUUCUCACCGGGGCACUCGGCGGUCUUCGGGCCAGCAUCGGUUUGGGUGGUGGGAGAAAGACCUUGGGAAUGUGGCUCCUCCGGGAGUGUUAUAGCCCUCGGUGCAAUGCCGCCUACCCAGACCGAGGACCGCGCUUCGGCUAGGAUGCUGGCGUAAUGGUUGUAAGCGACCCGUCUUGAAACACGGACCAAGGAGUCUAACAUCUAUGCGAGUAUUUGGGUGUUAAACCCAUAUGCGAAAUGAAAGUGAACGUAGGUGAGAACCCUUUAGGGUGCAUCAUCGACCGAUCCUAAUGUCUUCGGACGGAUUUGAGUAAGAGCAUAGCUGUUGGGACCCGAAAGAUGGUGAACUAUGCCUAAAUAGGGUGAAGCCAGAGGAAACUCUGGUGGAGGCUCGCAGCGGUUCUGACGUGCAAAUCGAUCGUCAAAUUUGGGUAUAGGGGCGAAAGACUAAUCGAACCAUCUAGUAUCUGGUUCCUGCCGAAGUUUCCCUCA
rnacentral:rRNA from 1 species